GAAAUGCGUAGAUAUUAGGAGGAACACCAGUUGCGAAGGCGGCUCUCUGGACUGUAACUGACGCUGAGGCACGAAAGCGUGGGGAGCAAACAGGAGUAGAUACCCUGGUAGUCCACGCUGUAAACGAUGAGUACUAGGUGUCGGGGGUUACCCCCUUCGGGGCCGCAGCUAACGCAUUAAGUACUCCGCCUGGGAAGUACGCUCGCAAGAGUGAAACUCAAAG
rnacentral:rRNA from 1 species